CAGAGCAUCUCGUACAGUAAGUACAAGCUGCAAAUAAUUAUUGGAUCAUUAUAGUAUUUACGUACAUGUUGGUCAUUGAAAGCAUGAUUUACUGUAGUAGAAAGAAAGGCAUCAGCGUUUUCUUUGUAAAUCUGAUAUUUCAUUUUUCGCAUAAUAGUUUGUACAAUUGAUCUCGCGUCGCGGGUUCUAAUACGUUUAUUGUUUAUUAAAAGUGUUAUUAAAAGGUGAAUGAAAUAAUAGUGAUCAAAAACAAAGAAAACAUAAAUAUUUUAUAUGUAAAUAUGUAUGCAAAAAAAUGGAUUGCCCUGCACAAUGGAAAGAGAUCAACACCAAAUUUUAAUGGAACUCCUAGAAAUGUGGCUUGGGGAUAUAAGUGCAGUGAUAAAUACGUCGCUUUUGAAUCCAGCCGAAGUGCACAAAAAUUUUGACUGAUAUUAACCGACUCUGUGGUUCAGAUGGUAAAUAUAAUUGUAAACAAAGGAAUUUUAAAUAAAAAUUAAUAUUGUUAAUUAUAUUAUAUUUAAAUAAAA